rnacentral:rRNA from 1 species
GGGGGGGGGCUGGGAUCCUGUUCUGUCGAUCCGGUUGUCGACCGUGGCGGACGGCACGCCUGUGCGCUCGUACCGCUGCCGGUCGACAGGGCGGUGAUCACACACUACGCGUCGAGGACGUUGACGACCAUACGGCUCCAUCCGACCCGUCUUGAAACACGGACCAAGGAGUCUAACAUGUGCGCGAGUCUCCGGGUGAGCGAAACCUGUGGGCGCAAUGAAAGUAAAGGCGGCACUCGCCGCUGAGGUGAGAAGCACUUACCGGCAAGUGCUGCAUCAUCGACCGACCUGUUCUACUCUUAGAAAGGUUUGAGUAAGAGCGCACCUGUUGGGACCCGAAAGAUGGUGAACUAUGCCUGAAUAGGGUGAAGCCAGCGGAAACACUGGUGGAAGCUCGUAGCGAUUCUGACGUGCAAAUCGAUCGUCGAAUUUGGGUAUAGCGGCGAAAGACUAAUCGAACCAUCUAGUAGCUGGUUCCCUCCGAAG